rnacentral:ncRNA from 1 species
GAGUAGAGGUUGCGCUGCCUAAGAGUAAUCAGAAGAAGGGUGACACCGUUGAAUUCUGAUGAAAGGAGUCCGCGCCGAAGUGAAUGUCCCGUCAUGGAUAUUUGCUGGGGGCAUUUCGAACAGGAAUGUCACUGCCAUAGUCUGAGCAAACUAUGGAGCGCUACUGA